rnacentral:lncRNA from 1 species
CUUUCGGAUCCAGGAACCGGCUCUUUAAAUACAGCUGUCUCAUUCUGAUCUCUUGUUAAUGGAGACUUGGGAGAGACUUCAAUCUGCUCGCUUUUGUUGGAAACGUGCUUCUUAAAUGAUCUAUGAUCAUCCCAAUCAGGUGCUGCCGCGUGCCUUUUAUCCGGGUGGGAUGUAACAUCCAAUCCAUGCUUCUUAGAUGAUCUAUGAUCAUCUCGAUCAGGUACUGCUGCGUACCUUUUAUCCGGGUGGGAUGUAACGUCCAAUCCAGCUUCUGCGUCAUCAUGAUGAACAAUUUUUAAUUGAUUGUCUCCUUUAACAUUUUUGUCCAAUAAUUUUCCAGAAGGAUCCUUCUUGGAACUC